rnacentral:rRNA from 1 species
AACGAACGCUGGCGGCAGGCUUAACACAUGCAAGUCGAGCGCCCCGCUAGGGGAGCGGCAGACGGGUGAGUAACGCGUGGGAAUCUACCCAUCUCUACGGAAUAACGCAUGGAAACGUGUGCUAAUACCGUAUACGUCCUUCGGGAGAACGAUUUAUCGGAGAUGGAUGAGCCCGCGUUGGAUUAGCUAGUUGGUGGGGUAAAGGCCUACCAAGGCGACGAUCCAUAGCUGGUCUGAGAGGAUGAUCAGCCACACUGGGACUGAGACACGGCCCAGACUCCUACGGGAGGCAGCAGUGGGGAAUAUUGGACAAUGGGCGCAAGCCUGAUCCAGCCAUGCCGCGUGAGUGAUGAAGGCCCUAGGGUUGUAAAGCUCUUUCACCGGUGAAGAUAAUGACGGUAACCGGAGAAGAAGCCCCGGCUAACUUCGUGCCAGCCGCCGCGGUAACAC